UACGAAGGGGGCUAGCGUUGUUCGGAUUUACUGGGCGUAAAGCGCACGUAGGCGGAUCGUUAAGUCAGGGGUGAAAUCCUGGGGCUCAACCCCAGAACUGCCUUUGAUACUGGGUAUCUGGAGGUCGAGAGAGGCGAGUGGAAUUCCGAGUGUAGAGGUGAAAUUCGUAGAUAUUCGGAGGAACACCAGUGGCGAAGGCGGCUCGCUGGCUCGAUACUGACGCUCAUGCACGAAAGCGUGGGGAGCAAACAGG
rnacentral:rRNA from 1 species